CAGUCGCCACGGGAAUACCAGCACCUCGAGUGGUCAGGAGGUUUAUUGGGCCUAAAGCAUCCGUAGCCGGUUGCAUAAGUUUUCGGUUAAAUCUAUGCGCUUAACGUAUAGGCCGCCGAAAAUACUGUGCAGCUAGGGAGUGGGAGAGGUACACGGUACUCGAUAGGAAGGGGUAAAAUCCUUUGAUCUAUUGAUGACCACCUGUGGCGAAGGCGGUGUACCAGAACACGUUCGACGGUGAGGGAUGAAAGCUGGGGGAGCAAACCGGAUUAGAUACCCCUGUAGUCCCUGUCUCUUAUAC
rnacentral:rRNA from 1 species